GACGAACGCUGGCGGCGUGCUUAACACAUGCAAGUCGAACGGAAAGACCCUGCUUUUGUGGGUUGCUCGAGUGGCGAACGGGUGAGUAACACGUGAGUAACCUUCCCUUGACUUUGUGAUAACUUCAGGAAACUUGGGCUAAUACCGGAUAGGAGCUCCUGCUGCAUGGUGUGGGUUGGAAAGUUUCGGCGUUUGGGGAUGGACUCGCGGCUUAUCAGCUUGUUGGUGGGGUAGUGGCUUACCAAGGCUUUGACGGGUAGCCGGCCUGAGAGGGUGACCGGACACAUUGGGACUGAGAUACGGCCCAGACUCCUACGGGAGGCAGCAGUGGGGAAUAUUGCACAAUGGGAGGAAGCCUGAUGUAGCAACGCCGGGUGCGGGAUGACGGCCUUCGGGUGGUAAACCGCUGUCGCCUGUGACGAAGCGUGAGUGACGGUAAUGGGUAAAGAAGCAACGGCUAACUACGUG
rnacentral:rRNA from 1 species